rnacentral:rRNA from 1 species
GCCCCAGUAACGGCGAGUGAAGCGGCAAGAGCUCAAAUUUGAAAUCUGGCCCCUCCGGGGUCCGAGUUGUAAUUUGCAGAGGAUGCUUCGGGUGCGGCCCCUGUCUAAGUGCCCUGGAACGGGCCGUCAGAGAGGGUGAGAAUCCCGUCUUGGGCAGGGUGCCCGUGCCCGUGUGAAGCUCCUUCGACGAGUCGAGUUGUUUGGGAAUGCAGCUCUAAAUGGGUGGUAAAUUUCAUCUAAAGCUAAAUACCGGCCGGAGACCGAUAGCGCACAAGUAGAGUGAUCGAAAGAUGAAAAGCACUUUGAAAAGAGAGUUAAACAGCACGUGAAAUUGUUGAAAGGGAAGCGCUUGCGACCAGACUCGGCCUCGGGGUUCAGCCAGCAUUCGUGCUGGUGUACUUCCCCGGGGCCGGGCCAGCGUCGGUUCGGGCGGCCGGUCAAAGGCCCCAGGAAUGUAUCGUCCUCCGGGACGUCUUAUAGCCUGGGGUGCAAUGCGGCCAGCCUGGACCGAGGAACGCGCUUCGGCACGGACGCUGGCGUAAUGGUCACAAACGACCCGUCUUGAAACACGGACCAAGGAGUCUAACAUCUACGCGAGUGUUCGGGUGUCAAACCCGUACGCGCAGUGAAAGCGAACGGAGGUGGGAGCCCCUUUGGGGCGCACCAUCGACCGAUCCUGAAGUCUUCGGAUGGAUUUGAGUACGAGCGUAGCUGUGGGGACCCGAAAGAUGGUGAACUAUGCCUGAAUAGGGUGAAGCCAGAGGAAACUCUGGUGGAGGCUCGCAGCGGUUCUGACGUGCAAAUCGAUCGUCAAAUUUGGGUAUAGGGGCGAAAGACUAAUCG